rnacentral:sRNA from 1 species
CCAUAUUUCAUAUAUAUCUUAUAUUUUAUAUGGCAUAUUUUAGAUUUAUCCUCUUAUAAUUGUUGGCUACACACUGCUGUCUAAAUUGUGUAGAAAAUAAAAACUUCACUAUCGGUAUUGUCAAACCCUCGUAAACAACGAAUUUUAAAAGAAUAAUUACAAGAACUUAAUUUUAACAUCCUCGCAAGCCAAAGGUUUACGGUCCACCCUGCUUUCUAUAAUUCCCAUAUAUGCCAAUGGGAAGCGAAGUGGACUGAAAACCAUUGGCUUGCGAAGAUGCUUUAUUAUUGGGUUUUUAAAAAGUGUUUUACAAUGUUAAAGAGUGCCACAUUUUUGUUGUUGUUGACUGAGACAUUGUUAUUGUGUUUUACCCCGUCUGUUAGUUGUUUUAUGGAGAGAUUGGGGAAAAACAAAAAGAUAUGUCAUACAAACUUUACAAGAUGUCCCACCAUCAUGAAUAAUUCCAGAGUUAUUUUGUUUGAUUGGCUGUUUGUAAGCCUUUGAUUUUGUAUUCGCUUUUAGAAUGUUAUUAGAUAUCAUAUACUCGUGUUCUCAACAAUGAUCAAAACAGUUUGUGUUCAAGAAAUCGCCAUUUUCCAUGUUAUAUUUGUACAAUAUUGUUAAUAAAGUUUACUUUUUAAUCUU